GCUUAAAACAAGCACAUAUAUUUUUAUGUACCUAUAUUACAAACACAUUAAAAAAUGUCUGCAAGAUGUAUAUGUUUUCCUUUACACAGGGUACUGGAAUUGGAAGUGGAGAUAAUGAAAGGACCCUUUACUUUCAACUGUAAUAUUUUAUUUAAAUGUAAAUGUAUUCAUGAUUUAGCCUAGAUUAAAAAAAAAAAUCAGCUAGCUAGAAGAAUGAGGUAACUUUUAAUUUUAGUACUAAAGGAUAAACAGUAUUUCACCCAACAGAUGAGGGGGGAAAAUAUGAAUUAGAGGACAUGCCAAUUACUUAGAGAUAAGAGGAAGUCAAGACUUUCUGAAAACCAAACUUCCAAAUUUUGCCUAUACCGCCAGGUUAGUUCAACACAAUUCAACCCAAAUUACUAAGUACCUAAUGUGUAAAAAGAAUUGCACUAGGUGUUGAGGAUAGAUCCUGUCCUCACUUUCACAAGCAUCUUAUUUGACUCAUUUGAUCCUUGCCACAAUAUGAGGCAGGUAUCAGGAUCCUUGCUUUUUAGAUGAGGUUCCCAUAAGUAACAUAAAGUAAUGAGUUUGGGCUGAAUGACAGAAUUUAAACCUGAAUAUGACUCUGAAAUCAGCCAUUUUUUUUUUUUUUUUUUUGAUUUUUAGUAGAGACAGGAGAAUGGCAUGAACCCGGGAGGUGGAACUUACAGUGAGCCGAGAUAGCGCCACUGCAGUCCGGCCUGAGCAACAGAACGAGACUCCAUCUCAAAAAAAAAAAAAAAAAAA
rnacentral:lncRNA from 1 species